CCUGGAGACAAAUUCAUACGUUCCAUGUAUAACGUUGGGCAGCAAGUGGAAAUCCAACGGAUGCUAAGAAAACACCCAUCUUUACAGGAGACUGAAAUAGAUUUUGAUUGUAGAUGUAAAAAGAAAAAUAUGUUGUCGCAAGCCGAGAUAUGUUCUGAGCAUUUUCGACAGCAGCUAGAAAAAAAGGAAAAAGAAUGUGAGGAUCUGAAAAGGAAACUCGACAAAGCUUGCAAGCAUCUCCAGCUUGCAGUGAAGGAACAAAAAACAAAGUCUGAACAAGCUCAAGAGAAUGAAAAAAUUAUGAAAGCCCUCCUGGAAGAAAACUCUGCCAUGAAGAACCGACUUGAUGAUUUGAAAUGUGUCAAUAUUCCU
rnacentral:lncRNA from 1 species